UUUAAAAUUUCAUAACAAUUGGGAACUUCUAACAUGUAGAACUCAACUUUUGCACUUUUUACAAUUUAGUCAUUUUUACUAAAUUGAGUGCCCAAAAGUCUAAAUUUUCGAACGAAAUUUUCAUAAACUCAUUUCGUGAAAUUAUAGACCAUAAAAAUAUAACAAAAAAAAAUUUUCCUCGUUGAAUUUGUGGUCCAGAAACCACUGUUCCGACUAGGCCCAAAAUUGGGCUAUUACAUUUAUCCAAGUUAAAUUGGGUUAAAAAUUAAUAUAAAGCCUGAAGGAGAAAGUGGCUUAGUGUGCUAAGCAUUGAAGACGGAUCCAAUAAGAAAAUUUGC
rnacentral:lncRNA from 1 species